ACAGAGCCACAGCUGCAGCUCCCCUCCCCCACGGCCUGUGCAGCAGCCACACCCGGAACGCCAACCUGGCGGCUCUCUGACUACCGGGACCAGGAAUGCCACUGGGGGACUCGGAUGCCGCUGCGGGGCGAGGGUGUGAGCUGGGACCGGCUGCUUCGAGCCAGGCACAAAAGCCACAUCCUGGUUGGCAUGCUUCAGUUAGAGGGAACAGUCACUGGAAUCUGAACCCCUGGGAAGGCUCCCGCUCACACUGGUCCACAUGGUGGCUACAACUAGCAGCUGCAGUGUAGUGAGAAAGGGCAUGCUCAGCUCCACGCUGUACACGAAAUACCCGAGGAUCCCGGAGGAAAACGACAUGCACGAGGGCCAGACGGGAACCAGAGCAGGGAGCAGACUCUGCUUGCUCCCUGAGCCCUCAUCCUCGCAAGCCUCCAUCGUUCGACGGCCUUCAUGGGGGCUCCUGGCGUCUCAUCUGGCUCUGGAACCCCUCGUGCUAACCUCUGACCCUGACACACACCGGGCUUCCUCAACACAUGCUCAGUGACAGAGAAUACAGGGCUCGGGGAGAACCUACUUCUCCGCUACUGAAAUGGAACAAGAGAAAGAGGCUGCGGCCGCCGCUCGUUUCCGCGUGAGCUGCGCUUUGGUCCCAGCAGACAGAUGGCGUAGCUGUGCUUGUGAUCUCGUCUGUGGAUGUCCCAGCAAGAGAGACCACGGGAGAGACCUAGGCGCGCUGUGUGGGGCCAGCCUGGUCCUGCCACCAUGGCUCUGGUGGCGGAUGCUUUCCACCCUCUGCUGCCCGCUCCUGCCGGCUGCUCCCAGGAACUACUCUGAAAACUCCACCAACUUUGAAAACAAUCCCCGGAGCUUGGGUCCCACCCUAGAGAUUCUGGAAUUAGUUGGACUGGAAUGGAACCCAGGCAGCAAAAUAUAUUAAAAUCCAAAGUUUA